GCGAAUGGCUCAUUAAAUCAGUUAUCGUUUAUUUGAUAAUACCUUACUACUUGGAUAACCGUGGUAAUUCUAGAGCUAAUACAUGCUGAAAAUCCCGACUUCGGAAGGGAUGUGUUUAUUAGAUAAAAAACCAAUGCCCUUCGGGGCUUUUUGGUGAUUCAUGAUAACUUUACGGAUCGCAUAGCCUUGCGCUGGCGACGGUUCAUUCAAAUUUCUGCCCUAUCAACUUUCGAUGGUAAGGUAUUGGCUUACCAUGGUUUCAACGGGUAACGGGGAAUUAGGGUUCGAUUCCGGAGAGGGAGCCUGAGAAACGGCUACCACAUCCAAGGAAGGCAGCAGGCGCGCAAAUUACCCAAUCCCGACACGGGGAGGUAGUGACAAUAAAUACUGAUACAGGGCUCUUUUGGGUCUUGUAAUUGGAAUGAGUACAAUUUAAACCUCUUAACGAGGAACAAUUGGAGGGCAAGUCUGGUGCCAGCAGCCGCGGUAAUUCCAGCUCCAAUAGCGUAUAUUAAAGUUGUUGCAGUUAAAAAGCUCGUAGUUGAAACUUGGGCCUGGCUGGCGGGUCCGCCUCACCGCGUGCACUCGUCCGGCCGGGCCUUCCUUCUGAAGAACCUCAUGCCCUUCACUGGGCGUGCUGGGGAAUCAGGACUUUUACUUUGAAAAAAUUAGAGUGUUCAAAGCAGGCCUUUGCUCGAAUACGUUAGCAUGGAAUAAUAAAAUAGGGCGUGCGUUUCUAUUUUGUUGGUUUCUAGAGACGCCGCAAUGAUUAACAGGAACAGUCGGGGGCAUCAGUAUUCAGUUGUCAGAGGUGAAAUUCUUGGAUUUACUGAAGACUAACUACUGCGAAAGCAUUUGCCAAGGAUGUUUUCAUUAAUCAGUGAACGAAAGUUAGGGGAUCGAAGACGAUCAGAUACCGUCGUAGUCUUAACCGUAAACUAUGCCGACUAGGG
rnacentral:rRNA from 1 species